rnacentral:rRNA from 1 species
ACUCCUACGGGAGGCAGCAGUCGGGAACAUUCGGCCAAUGCGCGAAAGCGUGACCGAGCGACACCGCGUGGGCGACGAAGAUCUUAGGAUUGUAAAGCCCUUUUGCCAGGGAAGAAUACGCUGGAGACAAUAUCAAUAGCGUUUGACGGUACCUGGCGAAUAAGCCGCAGCAAACUACGUGCCAGCAGCCGCGGUAAU